UUUUCUUCUUUAAUGUCUUCAAUCUUCCAAUAGUUUAUAAAGAAAGCUUUUUGACAUUGUUUCUUUUUAAAGCGAGGGAAUACCUUUUAUGGCCCUGCCACCGUCUAUAACGUGAUUUGUUUGUUUCGCUAAACGCUCUUAGGAAAACGGAGCUAUCAGAGUGACAUAUAUGACUUAACGAAGCUGUGUGUGGCUCAUGAUCACUAUUUAGAAUUGAAUGAAAACAACCAAUGUCAAUCACAGUGUCGAAAUGCCCCUUGAAUUCAUUUAAUCUUGAAAAAUCGCGUUGAUUAAAGUUGACAUUACUUUUUUCACUAGAUGUUUUAUCGAUUGCUUUAGAAAUAGCCCUUUCGGAAAUAUCAAUACCCACGACUUUAUAUCCAAGACUGGCUAAAUAUCUAGCAUUUCUAUUUGGUUCACAACCGGCAUCUAAUACAUUCUCAUGUAAUUUCCCCAGUUGUACAAGAUUCAUGAUCUAUUCGUCUGGUUUCUCAUUAUCAAAUGGUGUUGCGGGAUCUUCAUACAUAUUUUCCCAACUAUUUUUUACUUCAGAGAUAUAUUUCUUCAUUGUUCUUAAUGAUAUAUAAAAAAUGGUGAAAUAUUUAUUUAUUGCCCCAUCAUGUUUAUUUUUAUAUCCUUCUUUCUCUGUCAGGAAAUCUAUUUCCGAGCUGACGAUAAAAAAACAUGUUGCAAGCCGCCGAAACUACCUCGGCUUUUAUUACUAUGUCCGAAAAGUGCGCGAAAUAUUGGAAUGGCUUGUAAAUUAUGCAUUUAAUCAAAUAAAGUGAUAGUAAGCGCAAAGUGUAUGACUCAAUGAAAAUCGGGUGUAUCAACUACUCAGUUGUUUACCAUACAAUGUAUUGUAAAU